GUAAAGCAUGGUGUAGUUCACCUCAGCCAUGAGAGGCAAAAAGGCAGUGACACUCAGCAGAUGGGAGCUGGAGCAGCGGCAGGGGAGGUGCAAUCCCUUUCAUAUCAAAGGCAGCCACGGUUCCUCUUCACCACAGCAAGCGUGUGCAUGGGUGUGCUCUGUGUGUCAAGGCACUUAAUGGGCCAGGUGCACUCGAUAAAAGAACGCCAGGCACUGCAGCAAACUCACUCACCCACUUCUGAAGCAAGACUACGUGAACCAAGGAGUGUGUGGGUGGACGGCUUUCUUGAUACAUCUACGGUGCAACUUAGUGUAAAAGGCUAUCCCUCUCAUCUGCCAUGAAUAUGUGUGUCCUGCUUGAUAAGAGAGGUAACAAACAGGAGUCCAAAUCCAGGAAUUAUUGGAAAUCUCUUGGGAAAGCCUGUUCUUUUGAGAUAUCUAUUCUAGUUUCCUGACUAGGAUUUGGAAAAAGGUUUUCUGAACUUUUGGGUUCACAUUUAACUUUAACUGAGCUUCCAGGCCAUGAGUUCACCCAUCCUCACGACCCUGUGACAAUGGCUGUGGAAGAGAAGGCGUCGGAGCGCCGUCCUUGGGGAGUGCAGGGGGUCUGCCUCUGUCGGAUGACAAAGGCAUGACAUUGUUUAGGGGUGUGUAACAGCUUCUGUCAUUGUUUAGAAAAUAAUAUGUCUUAGGAAGAAAUUGUUUGUUGAUAAAAUGUUUUAAAUGGUCACUAAUAAUCAACAGAAAA